rnacentral:rRNA from 1 species
CGUAGGGAGCAAGCGUUGUCCGGAAUCAUUGGGCGUAAAGCGCGCGUAGGCGGCCCUGUAAGUCCGUUGUGAAAGUCAAAGGCUCAACCUUUGAAAGCCGAUGGAUACUGCAGGGCUAGAGUCCGGAAGAGGCGAGUGGAAUUCCUGGUGUAGCGGUGGAAUGCGCAGAUAUCAGGAGGAACACCAAUAGCGAAGGCAGCUCGCUGGGACGGUACUGACGCUAAGGCGCGAAAGCGUGGGGAGCGAACAGGAUU